GACGAACGCUGGCGACGUGCUUAACACAUGCAAGUCGAACGGUAAGGCCCUUCGGGGUACACGAGUGGCGAACGGGUGAGUAACACGUGGGUGAUCUGCCCUGCACUUCGGGAUAAGCCUGGGAAACUGGGUCUAAUACCGGAUAGGACCACUGCCUACAUGGGUGGUGGUGGAAAGCCUUUGCGGUGUGGGAUGGGCCCGCGGCCUAUCAGCUUGUUGGUGGGGUGAUGGCCUACCAAGGCGACGACGGGUAGCCGGCCUGAGAGGGUGACCGGCCACACUGGGACUGAGAUACGGCCCAGACUCCUACGGGAGGCAGCAGUGGGGAAUAUUGCACAAUGGGCGCAAGCCUGAUGCAGCGACACCGCGUGAGGGAUGACGGCCUUCGGGUUGUAAACCUCUUUCAGCACCGACGAAGCGCAAGUGACGGUAGGUGCAGAAGAAGGACCGGCCAACUACGUGCCAGCAGCCGCCGUAAUAC
rnacentral:rRNA from 1 species